CUGCACGAAUGGCGUAACGAUGGCCACACUGUCUCCUCCCGAGACUCAGCGAAGUUGAAAUGUUUGUGAUGAUGCAAUCUACCCGCGGCUAGACGGAAAGACCCCAUGAACCUUUACUGUAGCUUUGCAUUGGACUUUGAACCAAUCUGUGUAGGAUAGGUGGGAGGCUUUGAAGCGGGGACGCUAGUUCUCGUGGAGCCAACCUUGAAAUACCACCCUGGUUUGUUUGAGGUUCUAACCUUGGUCCGUUAUCC
rnacentral:rRNA from 1 species